GACGAACGCUGGCGGCGCGCUUAACACAUGCAAGUCGAACGGAAAGGCCUGCUUUCCCUUGUGGAUUGCGGGUACUCGAGUGGCGAACGGGUGAGUAACACGUGAGUGAUCUGCCCCCAACUUGGGUAUAAGCCUGGGAAACUGGGUCUAAUUCCCGAUAGGACUGCAGGGUGGUGCCUGUGGUGGAAAACGAUUUUCUAGUGGUUGGGGAUGAGCUCGCGGCCUAUCAGCUUGUUGGUGGGGUAAUGGCCUACCAAGGCGGCGACGGGUAGCCGGCCUGAGAGGGUGGACGGCCACAUUGAGACUGGGAUACGGCCCAGACUCCUACGGGAGGCAGCAGUGGGGAAUAUUUGACAAUGGGCGGAAGCCUGAUGCAGCGACGCCGCGUGGGGGAUGACGGCCUUCGGGUUGUAAACUCCUUUCGACCGCGAGGAAGCCACCUGGUUGGAAGGGUGGUGACGGUAGUGGUAGAAGAAGCACCGGCUAACUACGUG
rnacentral:rRNA from 1 species